rnacentral:rRNA from 1 species
UACGUAGGGGGCUAGCGUUGUCCGGAUUUAUUGGGCGUAAAGAGCGUGUAGGCGGCCAGGUAGGUCUGCUGUGAAAACUCGAGGCUCAACCUCGAGCUGUCGGCGGAAACCAUCUGGCUAGAGUCCGGAAGAGGAGAGUGGAAUUCCCGGUGUAGCGGUGAAAUGCGCAGAUAUCGGGAAGAACACCCGUGGCGAAGGCGGCUCACUGGACCGGAACUGACGCUGAUGCGCGAAAGCGUGGGGAGCAAACGGG